rnacentral:antisense_RNA from 1 species
CGAUAUGGCGGCUGUGCGUGGGGCACUUUCGGGUGCGCCGGGUUGUUUGAUUCCUGGUCUGCUAACCCGCGCACGGUCGCCACCCUA